rnacentral:rRNA from 1 species
UUGUUGGGUAGGGGAGCGUUCUGUAAGCCUGUGAAGGUGUGUCGUGAGGCAUGCUGGAGGUAUCAGAAGUGCGAAUGCUGACAUAAGUAACGAUAAAGCGGGUGAAAAGCCCGCUCGCCGGAAGACCAAGGGUUCCUGUCCAACGUUAAUCGGGGCAGGGUGAGUCGACCCCUAAGGCGAGGCCGAAAGGCGUAGUCGAUGGGAAACGGGUUAAUAUUCCCGUACUUGGUGUUACUGCGAAGGGGGGACGGAGAAGGCUAUGUUGGCCGGGCGACGGUUGUCCCGGUUUAAGCGUGUAGGUGUGUGUUCCAGGUAAAUCCGGUUCACUUUAACACUGAGGCGUGACGACGAGGCACUACGGUGCUGAAGCAACAAAUGCCCUGCUUCCAGGAAAAGCCUCUAAGCAUCAGGUAACAUCAAAUCGUACCCCAAACCGACACAGGUGGUCAGGUAGAGAAUACCAAGGCGCUUGAGAGAACUCGGGUGAAGGAACUAGGCAAAAUGGUGCCGUAACUUCGGGAGAAGGCACGCUGACACGUAGGUGAAGUGAUUUACUCAUGGAGCUGAAGUCAGUCGAAGAUACCAGCUGGCUGCAACUGUUUAUUAAAAACACAGCACUGUGCAAACACGAAAGUGGACGUAUACGGUGUGACGCCUGCCCGGUGCCGGAAGGUUAAUUGAUGGGGUCAGCGCAAGCGAAGCUCCUGAUCGAAGCCCCGGUAAACGGCGGCCGUAACUAUAACGGUCCUAAGGUAGCGAAAUUCCUUGUCGGGUAAGUUCCGACCUGCACGAAUGGCGUAAUGAUGGCCAGGCUGUCUCCACCCGAGACUCAGUGAAAUUGAACUCGCUGUGAAGAUGCAGUGUACCCGCGGCAAGACGGAAAGACCCCGUGAACCUUUACUAUAGCUUGACACUGAACAUUGAGCCUUGAUGUGUAGGAUAGGUGGGAGGCUUUGAAGUGUGGACGCCAGUCUGCAUGGAGCCGACCUUGAAAUACCACCCUUUAAUGUUUGAUGUUCUAACGUGGACCCGUUACCCGGGUUGCGGACAGUGUCUGGUGGGUAGUUUGACUGGGGCGGUCUCCUCCUAAAGAGUAACGGAGGAGCACGAAGGUUGGCUAAUCCUGGUCGGACAUCAGGAGGUUAGUGCAAUGGCAUAAGCCAGCUUGACUGCGAGCGUGACGGCGCGAGCAGGUGCGAAAGCAGGUCAUAGUGAUCCGGUGGUUCUGAAUGGAAGGGCCAUCGCUCAACGGAUAAAAGGUACUCCGGGGAUAACAGGCUGAUACCGCCCAAGAGUUCAUAUCGACGGCGGUGUUUGGCACCUCGAUGUCGGCUCAUCACAUCCUGGGGCUGAAGUAGGUCCCAAGGGUAUGGCUGUUCGCCAUUUAAAGUGGUACGCGAGCUGGGUUUAGAACGUCGUGAGACAGUUCGGUCCCUAUCUGCCGUGGGCGCUGGAGAACUGAGGGGGGCUGCUCCUAGUACGAGAGGACCGGAGUGGACGCAUCACUGGUGUUCGGGUUGUCAUGCCAAUGGCACUGCCCGGUAGCUAAAUGCGGAAGAGAUAAGUGCUGAAAGCAUCUAAGCACGAAACUUGCCCCGAGAUGAGUUCUCCCUGAGACUUAGAGUCUCCUGAAGGAACGUUGAAGACGACGACGUUGAUAGGCCGGGUGUGUAAGCGCAGCGAUGCGUUGAGCUAACCGGUACUAAUGAACCGUGAGGCUUAACCUUAC